UACGUAGGGCGCAAGCGUUAUCCGGAAUUAUUGGGCGUAAAGGGCUCGUAGGCGGUUUGUCGCGUCGGGAGUGAAAACCCAGGGCUUAACCCUGGGCUGGCUUCCGAUACGGGCAGACUAGAGGUAUGCAGGGGGAGAACGGAAUUCCUGGUGUAGCGGUGAAAUGCGCAGAUAUCAGGAGGAACACCGGUGGCGAAGGCGGGUCUCUGGGCCGAUACUGACGCUGAGACGCGAAAGCGUGGGGAGCGAACAGG
rnacentral:rRNA from 1 species